GGGUUGUGAGGUUAAGCGACUAAGCGUACACGGUGGAUGCCCUGGCAGUCAGAGGCGAUGAAGGACGUGCUAAUCUGCGAUAAGCGUCGGUAAGGUGAUAUGAACCGUUAUAACCGGCGAUUUCCGAAUGGGGAAACCCAGUGUGAUUCGUCACACUAUCAUUAACUGAAUCCAUAGGUUAAUGAGGCGAACCGGGGGAACUGAAACAUCUAAGUACCCCGAGGAAAAGAAAUCAACCGAGAUUCCCCCAGUAGCGGCGAGCGAACGGGGAGGAGCCCAGAGCCUGAAUCAGUGUGUGUGUUAGUGGAAGCGUCUGGAAAGGCGCGCGAUACAGGGUGACAGCCCCGUACACAAAAAUGCACAUAUUGUGAGCUCGAUGAGUAGGGCGGGACACGUGGUAUCCUGUCUGAAUAUGGGGGGACCAUCCUCCAAGGCUAAAUACUCCUGACUGACCGAUAGUGAACCAGUACCGUGAGGGAAAGGCGAAAAGAACCCCGGCGAGGGGAGUGAAAAAGAACCUGAAACCGUGUACGUACAAGCAGUGGGAGCCUCUUUUAUGGGGUGACUGCGUACCUUUUGUA
rnacentral:rRNA from 1 species